rnacentral:rRNA from 1 species
GUCCACGCCCUAAACGAUGUCAACUAGGUGUUGGGAGGGUAAAACCUUUUAGUACCGGAGCUAACGCGUGAAGUUGACCGCCUUGGGAGUACGGCCGCAAGGUUAAAACUCAAAGGAAUUGACGGGGACCCGCACAAGCGGUGGAUGAUGUGGAUUAAUUCGAUGCAACGCGAAAAACCUUACCUACCCUUGACAUGUCAGGAACUUGCCAGAGAUGGCUUGGUGCUCGAAAGAGAACCUGAACACAGGUGCUGCAUGGUUGUCGU